rnacentral:misc_RNA from 1 species
GUUUUUCUUCGUUUUUUCUCCUCUCUAUAUCGGCUGAUUGUUUCGUUUCUCAGAAUCGACUGAUUGAAGUUCGAAUCAGAACUUAGCGUCAGAGAUUAGGAAGAGAAAAGAUGCCGGGGCUAACCUGUAAUGCCUGUAACAAAGAAUUUCUAGACGUCGAGGAGCAAAAGCUUCAUUACAAGUCCGAAUGGCAUCGAUACAAUCUUAAGCGGAAGGUAGCUAAUGUUCCUGGGGUUACAGAGGCAUUGUUUUUAGCUAGACAAUCUGCUGCUGCUGCACAAGAGAAUGCCAAAUCAAGAGAGACCUCAAUGUUAUACUCUUGUGGUCUUUGUAGCAAAGCUUAUAGGAGUGCCCAGGCUCAUGCCCAACAUCUUAAAUCUAGGAGUCACAUCAUCCGAGCUUCGCAAGGAGCACAUGAUCAAGAAGUUGAAAAGCCAAUAAUUAAGCCCCUUCCUCAGCGAAUCUCCAACAAGGCACCCCAACAAAGUGAGGAGGAAGAAGAGAGCGAGGAGGAGUGGGAAGAAGUCGAUCCUGACGAAGACAUGGUUGAUGGAAAUGAGGAGGAGGAGGAUGAUAUUGAUGACAUUGAGGUGGACUUGGAUCCAUCAUGCUGCUUCAUGUGUGAUCUAGAGCAUGAUACCAUUGAAAGCUGCAUGGUCCACAUGCACAAGCAACAUGGAUUCUUUAUUCCUGACGUUGAAUAUUUGAAGGAUCCAAAAGGCUUCCUUACAUACAUCGGCCUGAAGGUGAUGAGGGAUUUCAGGUGUCUGUACUGC